rnacentral:rRNA from 1 species
CAGCACCUCAAGUGGUCAGGAUGAUUAUUGGGCCUAAAGCAUCCGUAGCCGGCGCGGUAAGUUUUCGGUUAAAUCUGUACGCUCAACGUACAGGCUGCCGGGAAUACUGCAGCGCUAGGGAGUGGGAGAGGUAGACGGUACUCGGUAGGAAGGGGUAAAACCCUUUGAUCUAUUGAUGACCACCUGUGGCGAAGGCGGUCUACCAGAACACGUCCGACGGUGAGGGAUGAAAGCUGGGGGAGCAAACCGGAUUAGAUACCCGAGUAGUCC